CUUUGUCGAGUUUGCAGAAUUUGGUCUUGGCGGGUUGAGGAUCUCUUGUAUUUUGUGCGCUCUGUUCCUGCUCCAGGACUGACCAGGCAGUUCUGCCACCUUCUAGGAGUGUGAAAUUGGGAAGUAAUUCAAAAUGUAUGUGCCUAGCAUUCCUUUUAUGUAACAUGAGGGGAAUAGAAGUACCAAACCGAUGCAGUUCAGUGGAGAAUUAAAUGAGAUAGUCACAAGUAAAAGGUGAGACGCGAUCUUACUGCAUUGACCAGGAUGGUCUCAAACUCCUGGCUACAGGCUAUCCUCCUGCCUCUGUCUCCCAAAGCGCUGGGAUUACAAGCGUGAGCCACCAGGCCUGGCCCAAUUGCUUCUUAACAACUUACUAUUCUUUGUUCACUACAGUGUAUACAUAACUGACUUUUUAUUUGGAUCUUCAUUUUGUAAUGAAGGCUCUGGUCACAUGUAAGACUUGUAUUAAAUAAAUUUGCC
rnacentral:lncRNA from 1 species